GUGAGAAGGCCAGGGGAAAGCUUUUCCUCUAAAAAACCCUAACAUCUUAAUUUCUAUCAAAUUGAAAGUGAAAUCAGUGAAGAAUCGAAUGCAUGAGCUAAGAGUUCUGAUUGUCUAAGUAUUCUUGAUCUCAAGCACGAAGAAGGAAGAAGGCACAAGUCACUCGAAGGCACAAGCAUCUCAAGACCGCGGUAAAUCCCUUGCUUGAUUGGGGCGCACCCGGACUGAACACACACAAUGUCGACUUUUUAUACGCUUCCGGUUCAAGUUGUCUAUUAUGUAUGGGUCAAAGUUUUAAUUUUGGGAUAUGGUGUUAAACUUAUGUCUAGUAGGUUAGUAUGUAGUUUGA